AUGCUGGGUGCGUGCAGCUUCAGGACAAAGGGCAAUAAAACACAUUCCACAGGCACCCCCCCUGCACUAAGUCGACACGGGACAGUGUCCAGUUUCACCCGAGGCCGACAUCGAUUGGACGCCACACAGCUCAGGCAGGGAGGCAGCAAGCGUCCAGUUGAGCAUGUGACAACACAGGAUCGCAAGAGGAACUGCAGCGGGGUGACGCAUGAGCAGGCUCCUGCAGUGGCAGAUGAGACUGAGAUCUCCCCUCCUACAUUUUCUGUACAUUGUAAGAAAGAAAGAAAGCCUUUAAUCAUCAUUAUUACAUCUGUUUACAAUGUAACGAUAAAAUUGGUAUUCUGCAUUUAAACUGCCCUAGUUAAAGUGACAUAUACUGUACAGCUUAUUAAUAUUUUAUGAUUUUAUGUCUCUCUGCUGCUAAUGUGUGUUUUUGGAUUCCACUGAAUUCUAGGUGACACACAAGCAGACUUCUGCAAUAGCCGACAAAAUCCUCAAGGUAAAAAGGUUGGACCUGACCAGAACUGAUUUCCUUGUCAUUGCCUGCAGUUAACGUGUGUUCACAGUGAUAUGUUUGAUUCAGACAGCCACUGUGCCAUGUGUUGUUUCAAAGCCUCAGCCAUCAGCCUUCCACUACAGGCAGUGUGAUGGUGCAGCAGGACAACGGCAUUCAAAGAAACAGCUCUGUGAAGCAGUCCCAUGUCUGUGAAGGAUGCCAGUCAGCAGGAUGAAAACAUUUCUCUGCAUGCAGCAGCAGUCUGACAAGUCCCAGAUGGGUAAGGUUAGGUGUUCAACUCUUUAGGAUGAACAGAGUGCUGCAGCGCCAGCUAAAGUUGCAGUUUCACGGAGCUGUUUGUCUUCAUGCUACAACUUCAGCCCAUUUUCACACUCAUACAGCUUCACAGUCUGUUCUUGUACUGAAUGGAUUGUGUACAAACAGACUGGCGCUGCAGCAGUCUGUUUAUCCUGAAGCAUUGAACACCUUACCUUACCUUACCUUACCUUCCUGGGACUUGUCAGACUGCUGCUGCAUGUAGAGAAAUGUUUUCAUCCUGCUGACUGUCAUCCUUCACAGAUAUAGGACUGCUUCACAGAGCUGUUUCUUUGAAUGCUGUCAUCCUGCUGCAAGUCACACUGAGUCUCUGUCACAAUCUGUGCAACAAAAUGACAAAGGUCAGUAUGCAUGUCGUAGUUCACAGAGCUGCUUGUCUUCAUGCUGCAACUUCAGCCCACUUUGACACUC
rnacentral:lncRNA from 1 species